ensembl:scaRNA small Cajal body-specific RNA 2
GUACCCAGAGUGCAGCGCGACUGUGUUUAAAUAACCCGCCCCGGAAGCGUAGCGUAAGAAUGAGUGUUGGCGGACUGAGAGAGUGGAUGUGCGUGUGUGAGAAUGUACGCGUGUGUGAGAGUGAAUGUUCUAGAAAGGUGUUUAUAAAAAUCUACACGAUGAUCUUAUUUGAUCAGGCCGGGCGGUGGCCUCCCGUCGGUCCUGAGGUGAUAAGAGCCUGACGCGCGAGCCCCCCGGCGCUGUGCGCUCGUCUUUCCUUCUCGAGGCCCCCCCUUACCUUCCCCGGCAGUGCGCGGGUCCGAAGUGAUGAACCGAUCAGAUAUACUAGCGCCAAGCGGCUCGUGGGUUUUGCACUCGCGUCCCUCCGGUGCCGUGAGUACAGAGGCGAUUCUGAUCGGA